rnacentral:rRNA from 1 species
GACGAACGCUGGCGGCGUGCUUAACACAUGCAAGUCGAACGAUGAAGAAAAGAAUUGAAGCUUCGGCAGAAAUUCAUUUCGGAUUAGUGGCAGACGGGUGAGUAACGCGUGAGCAACCUACCUCUUACAAAGGGAUAGCCUCGGGAAACCGGGAUUAAUACCAUAUAACAUUGCGACGAAGCAUUUCGAUGCAAUCAAAGCUACGGCGGUAAGAGAUGGGCUCGCGUCCCAUUAACCAGGUGGUGAGGUAACGGCUCACCAUAGUAACGAUGGGUAACCGGCCUGAGAGGGUGAACGGUCACACUGGAACUGAGACACGGUCCAGACUCCUACGGGAGGCAGCAGUGGGGAAUAUUGCACAAUGGAGGGAACUCUGAUGCAGCGACGCCGCGUGAGUGAUGAAGGAAUUCGUUUCGUAAAACUCUGUUCUAUGGGAAGAAAAGGACUGUACCAUAGGGGAAAGCUCCGGCUAAAUACGUGCCAGCAGCCGCGGUAAUACGUAUGGAGCGAGCGUUGUCCGGAAUUAUUGGGCGUAAAGGGUGCGCAGGCGGCUUUACAAGUUGGAUGUGAAAUAUUGCGGCUCAACCACAAACGUGCAUCCAAAACUGCAAAGCUUGAGUUAAGGAGAGGUAAGUGGAAUUCCUGGUGUAGCGGUGGAAUGCGUAGAUAUUAGGAGGAAUACCGGUGGCGAAGGCGACUUGCUGGACUUCAACUGACGCUGAGGAACGAAAGCGUGGGUAGCAAACAGGAUUAGAUACCCUGGUAGUCCACGCCGUAAACGAUGAGUGCUAGGUGUCGGGGGUCAAACCUCGGUGCCGCCGUUAACACAAUAAGCACUCCGCCUGGGGAGUACGUGCGCAAGCAUGAAACUCAAAGGAAUUGACGGGGACCCGCACAAGCAGCGGAGCAUGUGGUUUAAUUCGAAGCAACGCGAAGAACCUUACCAGGACUUGAAAUACUAGCGCCCGCUUUAGAGAUAAAGCCUUUUCUUCGGAAACGCUAAUACAGGUGGUGCAUGGUUGUCGUCAGCUCGUGUCGUGAGAUGUUGGGUUAAGUCCCGCAACGAGCGCAACCCUUACUUUUAGUUGCCAGCACGUAAUGGUGGGAACUCUAAGGGACUGCCGAUGAUAAAUCGGAGGAAGGUGGGGAUGACGUCAAAUCAUCAUGCCCUUUAUGUCCUGGGCUACACACGUGCUACAAUGGUCGGUACAGAGGGCAGCGACAGAGCGAUCUCAAGCGAAUCUCAAAAAGCCGAUCCCAGUUCGGAUUGCAGGCUGCAACUCGCCUGCAUGAAGUCGGAGUUGCUAGUAAUCGCAGAUCAGAAUGCUGCGGUGAAUGCGUUCCCGGGUCU